rnacentral:lncRNA from 14 species
AGCUGAUACCCUCGCAGCGAGUUGUAACUUGAAUUCCUGCUGUUUGUGCCACUGGGGAAGCCGAGUGGGGCAUCUGAGGCUGGCAUAGAAAACGACUCACAGCAAACAUUGCAUUGCACAGCGUUUUUGGGACACAUCUCUGUUGGAUUUUAAUAUAUGUCGUGCUAACAACAGCUUUCAACUAUGGAAUCGACAUGAAUGACUUCAAAGCCUCCGUGAAUGUACUGGCGCAUGGCAAGUGAGACUUCA